rnacentral:tRNA from 1 species
ACGUUGGUGGUUCAGUUGUAGAAUUCUCAUCUUCCAUGUGGGAGACCCGGGUUCAAUUCCUGGCCAAUGCA